rnacentral:rRNA from 1 species
AGCGAACGCUGGCGGCAGGCUUAGCACAUGCAAGUCGAGCGGGCCCUUCGGGGUCAGCGGCGGACGGGUGAGUAACGCGUGGGAACGUGCCUUCUGGUUCGGAAUAACUCAGGGAAACUUGAGCUAAUACCGGAUACGCCCUUUUGGGGAAAGGUUUACUGCCGGAAGAUCGGCCCGCGUCUGAUUAGCUAGUUGGUGGGGUAACGGCCUACCAAGGCGACGAUCAGUAGCUGGUCUGAGAGGAUGAUCAGCCACACUGGGACUGAGACACGGCCCAGACUCCUACGGGAGGCAGCAGUGGGGAAUAUUGGACAAUGGGCGCAAGCCUGAUCCAGCCAUGCCGCGUGAGUGAUGAAGGCCUUAGGGUUGUAAAGCUCUUUUAUCCGGGACGAUAAUGACGGUACCGGAGGAAUAAGCCCCGGCUAACUUCGUG